AUUUUUUGUAAUACUGUUAACACAUGUAUUCGUAACAACAUCUCAUAACACAUAAAUGUCAACGUCGAAUGACGUCAAUUUCAGCACACUCGAAAGUCACUGUUAUUUGAAAUUGAAUUAACAAAAUUAAUAACACGUGUGACCACCAUUUGUGUUCACGCAUGCUUGACAGCGACGCCUCAUUGAUGCCACUAAAGUGUUCAGAAAUGCUUGAGGGAUGUUGUUCCAGAUGUUGGUUAAAGCCUGGCCUAAAUCAGCCAAUGUCACUGGCUGAUUUGGUAAACGGCGUAAACGUCUUUCCAUUUCAUCCCAGACAUGCUCGAUCGGCGACAAAUCGGGGGAAACAGCUGGCCAAGGCAAGACAUCGACAUUCUGUUGAACAAACAAGUCCCUGACUACACGUGCAACGUGUGGCCUUGCGUUGUCUUGCUGCAGAGUGAUGUGAUUUUGAUGUCUCUGUAUGAAGGGUAUCACAUGACGCUGAAUAAUUUCAUCUCGAUAGCGUACGCCGGUGAGAUUUCCAUUGACAAUUUGUAGAGGGGUCCUUCCACGUGCUGAUAUUCCACCCCACACCAUAACGUUACCUCCUCCAAAUUGUCGACGUUGCACAACACAAGCGUCCUGGUAAUGCUCCCCAACGCGACGAUACACCCUACAAUGGCCGUCACUGCUAUCCAAAUGAAAUCUGGAUUCAUCAGUGAACAAAAUAUUGGCCCAGUCCUGUAUUCUGAAUCGCAGAUGUCGUGUGUACCACGCUAGUCUGGCGAUACGAUGACGUUGAAGCAGUACUGGGCGCACCGCUGGACGUCUUGGUCUGAUGUUUUGCUCGCGCAGACGAUUACGCACAAUUCUUGGACUAAUUGGUCGAAGCCCUGGAAUGCUACGGGCAGUCAAACUUGCUGUCUGGAAACGAUUUCUCAGAUGCACACGUCUAAUGUGGUUGUCCUGUUGACGUGACGUCACACGAGGUCGCCCAGAGCGCGGUCGAUCCUGAGUGUUGUCAGAUUGUAGAAAACGUCUCCAUAAUGACUGGAUGGUGUUCCGAUGAACUCCAAAGUGUCUUGCUACAGUAUUUUGUGGCAUUCCAGCUUGCAGCAUCCCAACAGCACGAUUACGUUGGUUUUCUUUGAGUCGUGGCAUGACAUAAGGGUAAAUUUUGUUGAAACUAAAGUGAUUCCCUUAACAAA
rnacentral:sRNA from 1 species